AUAAUGCAAGUACUACCAGCAUUAAUUCAUCCCUUUAAAAUUGUUUGAAUGCCUGUGAUGAUUCACUGCGGAUACUAUUCGUGCUUGAAUAAAUGCAUUUAACUUUGUAUAUUGUGGCUGUGGCAGAUACUAAUGGAUGUUUCCCAGUAUCUUUUCUUCUUCACUUUCUUUUAAUAGAUGAACCCACCUCUCCCCCUUCACCUUCCUUCCUCCGUCCUGUUUUUCAGAAACAUGGUCUCCUAGCUACAGACUACAUUUCCCAGCAUCCCUUAAAGCUAAGUAAGUUCAUGUUAAAGUCCCAGGCAAUGAGAGAGAAGUAGAAUUGUUAUCUUUCAUUUCUGGGUCAUCUCCUUAAAGACACUUGCCCUGGACUCUCUCCUACUCCCUUCUUCUAUGGGCUGUAGCACAGACAUGGCGGAAACCCAGCCUCGGUAAUGCCAGUGAGCACGACAUCAGGGAAUGGUAAUGCAGCAGAAAGAAAGGAACUUGUGUCCUUCAACGACCUUCACCACCUGGACCGGCGGGACUGUAAUGUGAGAAAUACAUUUCUACGUGCCCAAAUCUUCAAAAGUGCGUUUAAGUAAUGAAGACUUCAAAUGUUCUGUCUACUCCCAAGAUAUCUUCAUUUAAUCAAAAAUGAAUCUUACUGAAUUUCUAAACAGGUUUCCAGAUACCCUUGAUGGCAAUGAGUGUCCUUACAAGAGAGAAGCAGAGGAAGAUCUGAUAUACAGAGAAGAGGAGAAGGCCAUGUGACCAUGAGGAAGAGCUUAAGAUGUGGCCAAAAGCCAAGGAACACUGGCAGCCUCUAUAACUUGGAAGGUAGAGAAAUGGAUUCCCCCUUGGAGCCUCUGAAGCAAGUGCAGCCCUUGAUUUCUGUCCAGUGAAAACGAUUUUGGACUUCUGGCUUCAAGAACUGUGAGAGGACACAUUUCUAUUGUUUUCAGUCAUCAGUUUGUGGUCAUUUGUUUCAGCAACAACAGGAAACAUACACUGGUCAUGACUGUGGAUUCUUUUCUCACAGGCCUCUAGUAGCCUAACCUAAGAGGGAAAGAGGAAGUGAAAGAAGAAGAAAAAGAAAAAUUAAAAAACAGAAUGCAAGUAAGGGAUAAAAGAAGAGGAGCAGGAGAAUCAGGAGAAAAAGUGGAAGAGAAAUAACUCACUGAAUGGUCCAGGUCAUAUGAACCAUAUGAGGGAGAAGUUCACAUAGUCCCUAAAUUCCAGUUCUAUCUACAUGGUGGAUAUUAAAGCUAUGCCUAGGUCUGGAUCAGAAAACAAUCUGUCUUUAAAACAUCUUUAUGAUCCAUCCAAUAGUUAUAAUGUAGCUUACUGAAUUUUUUCUCAUCUAGGUUAUCAAUGACCUCCUUUUGGUUAAAAACGGUAACCCCUUAGACAUCAAGUUCUUUAACCUGAUUUGCCAACACUAUAGAGCCUUCAAAACCAUGCUCAUAACCUACUUCCUCUACAAAAUCUCCCUUAAUUUUGUAUUUUUCCAUUUUCUGAACUUUCAUUAUACUCACAGGAAGUACAUAUGUUAUUUCUGUCCCUCUAACAAGAGGUCAGAAAUGCUACCUGCUAAAUAUCCCCAAAUGUACAGAAUAACCCCCUACAACAAAGAAUUCUAUUUCUUCUCCCCUCCAGUAAUUUGCACAAGGCUGAUCUGUAACAGCCCUGUGAUGACUACCUGCUACUCUAAGUUCAGUAAUAUAGAUGGUCUCAUCUUCUUCAUUUCUACCUAUUUAUUUUAUUAUACAAUGCUGAUUGGUAUUGAGAAUUAUAUCCCUCAGGCAUGUUAGGUCUAAAUCAUAAAAAGCAUACUGACAAAAUUGUCUUGGUGGUUAAGAAAAUCUACUCAUAAUUUCAGAAAGAUUUCCAACUAUAAGAGUUGAGGCCAGAAAGCAUUUCUCAUUUAUCCUAAUUUAACUCCAAAAUGCAAUUAACUGCA